UUCCACAGCUACUGGUCUGCAGCUGUUAAUUGUAGCAGCUGCGGCAUUCCACUGUGGGAAAGAAAUUGUUACACAAUUAAAUACCUCUUUCUUAGCCAAAAAGAAAGUGGGCAUGUGUGUGACAGACACAA
rnacentral:snoRNA from 1 species